GUCUUCUUGUUACUAUAUGAAGUCUGACCUGCCCGGUGAUUAUUUUUAACGGCCGCGGUAUAUUGACCGUGCAAAGGUAGCAUAAUCAUUAGUCUUUUAAAAGGAGGCUGGAAUGAAAGGUUUGACGAGAUUUUAGCUGUCUCGACUUCAUUUAUUAAAAUUUAACUUUUAAGUUAAAAGGCUUAAAUAUAAUUGAAAGACGAGAAGACCCUAUAGAGCUUUAUGAUUAUUUUAUGUUAGUUUGAUUAUUAAGCUUUAUUAUAAUGAUUAUUUUGUUGGGGUGACAAAAAAUACAUAUUUAACUUUUUUAUAUAUAAAACAUUAAUUUAUGAUUAAAAGAUCCAUUAUUAUUGAUUGUUAGAUUAAGUUACCUUAGGGAUAACAGCGUAAUCUUCUUUUGGAGUUCUUAUUUACAAGAAGGAUUGCGACCUCGAUGUUGGAUUAAGAUUAUAUUUGGGUGUAGCAGCUCAUGAUUAUAGGUCUGUUCGACCUUUAAAUUCUUACAUGAUCUGAGUUCAGACCGG
rnacentral:rRNA from 1 species